rnacentral:rRNA from 1 species
AGAGUUUGAUCCUGGCUCAGGAUGAACGCUAGCUACAGGCUUAACACAUGCAAGUCGAGGGGAAACGAUAGAGAAAGCUUGCUUUUUCUAGGCGUCGACCGGCGCACGGGUGAGUAACGCGUAUCCAACCUGCCCACCACUUGGGAAUAACCUUGCGAAAGUAAGACUAAUACCCAAUGAUAUCUCUAGAAGACAUCUGAAGGAGAUUAAAGAUUUAUCGGUGAUGGAUGGGGAUGCGUCUGAUUAGCUUGUUGGCGGGGUAACGGCCCACCAAGGCGACGAUCAGUAGGGGUUCUGAGAGGAAGGUCCCCCACAUUGGAACUGAGACACGGUCCAAACUCCUACGGGAGGCAGCAGUGAGGAAUAUUGGUCAAUGGGCGAGAGCCUGAAUCAGCCAAGUAGCGUGCAGGAAGACGGCCCUAUGGGUUGUAAACUGCUUUUAUAAGGGAAUAAAGUGAGUCUCGUGAGACUUUUUGCAUGUACCUUAUGAAUAAGGACCGGCUAAUUCCGUGCCAGCAGCCGCGGUAAUACGGAAGGUCCGGGCGUUAUCCGGAUUUAUUGGGUUUAAAGGGAGCGUAGGCCGGAGAUUAAGCGUGUUGUGAAAUGUAGACGCUCAACGUCUGCACUGCAGCGCGAACUGGUUUCCUUGAGUACGCACAAAGUGGGCGGAAUUCGUGGUGUAGCGGUGAAAUGCUUAGAUAUCACGAAGAACUCCGAUUGCGAAGGCAGCUCACUGGAGCGCAACCGACGCUGAAGCUCGAAAGUGCGGGUAUCGAACAGGAUUAGAUACCCUGGUAGUCCGCACGGUAAACGAUGGAUGCCCGCUGUUGGUCUGAAUAGGUCAGCGGCCAAGCGAAAGCAUUAAGCAUCCCACCUGGGGAGUACGCCGGCAACGGUGAA